rnacentral:rRNA from 1 species
AGUGAACGCUGGCGGUAGGCCUAACACAUGCAAGUCGAACGGCAGCACAGUAAGAGCUUGCUCUUACGGGUGGCGAGUGGCGGACGGGUGAGGAAUACAUCGGAAUCUACUUUUUCGUGGGGGAUAACGUAGGGAAACUUACGCUAAUACCGCAUACGACCUACGGGUGAAAGCAGGGGAUCUUCGGACCUUGCGCGAUUGAUUGAGCCGAUGUCGGAUUAGCUAGUUGGCGGGGUAAAGGCCCACCAAGGCGACGAUCCGUAGCUGGUCUGAGAGGAUGAUCAGCCACACUGGAACUGAGACACGGUCCAGACUCCUACGGGAGGCAGCAGUGGGGAAUAUUGGACAAUGGGCGCAAGCCUGAUCCAGCCAUACCACGUGGGUGAAGAAGGCCUUCGGGUUGUAAAGCCCUUUUGUUGGGAAAGAAAAGCAGCAGGUUAAUACCCCGCUGUUCUGACGGUACCCAAAGAAUAAGCACCGGCUAACUUCGUG